GGAGUUAGCCGGUGCUUCUUCUGCGAGUAACGUCACAGAUGUAAGGUAUUAACUUACACCCUUUCCUCCUCGCUGAAAGUGCUUUACAACCCGAAGGCCUUCUUCACACACGCGGCAUGGCUGCAUCAGGGUUUCCCCCAUUGUGCAAUAUUCCCCACUGCUGCCUCCCGUAGGAGUCUGGGCCGUGUCUCAGUCCCAGUGUGGCUGAUCAUCCUCUCAGACCAGCUAGGGAUCGUCGCCUAGGUGAGCCUUUACCUCACCUACUAGCUAAUCCCACCUGGGCUUAUCCAUCAGCGCAAGGCCCGAAGGUCCCCUGCUUUCCCCCGUAGGGCGUAUGCGGUAUUAGCAGUCGUUUCCAACUGUUAUCCCCCACAAAUGGGCAAAUUCCCAGGCAUUACUCACCCGUCCGCCGCUCGUCAUCUUCAAAGCAAGCUUUUGAAAUGUUACCGCUCGACUUGCAUGUGUUAGGCCUGCCGCCAGCGUUCAAUCUGAACCAGAUCAAAUUCUGA
rnacentral:rRNA from 1 species